AUCCCCCUCGGCUCAGUCCGUCUGGGGUUGAGAUCGGCGACAGCUGCGAAGUGAAGGUAGUCGUCAGUUCGCACACAGACUUGCGACAAAUCGACCGGGCACUUCGCGAUAUCUUCGGUCACAAGUAUCAGAUGCUACUAGAUUUGAAUAAGCCCACAUCCUUGUCGCCGCAAGAAAAAUAUGAAAGCAGCAGAAAACUUGCCAGUAGUUUGGAGGAAGACACUCGGUUCUCUCAUCCCAUCGAAGUUCAGAAGCGUAAACGAUCAGGGUAUAUGGUACGAUCCAGACACCCGACGGCAUGGCAGUCGCCUUCCACUGCGUCAACUUCUUCUUUAGCACAG